rnacentral:piRNA from 2 species
UGACUGUCCUGGUUGCCACGAAAGAG